AAAAACAUGGCUCCUUGAUACAUAAUAAUAGGGAGUCGGACCUGCCCAGUGAAUAUUUUCAACGGCCGCGGUACUCUGACCGUGCAAAGGUAGCAUAAUCAUUUGCCUUAUAAUUGAAGGCUAGUAUGAAUGGUUUGACAAGAAUAUAGCUGUCUCUUUACGAUUUUAUAGAAUUUUAUUUUUAGGUGAAGAAGCCUAAUUUUUAUUAAAAGACAAGAAGACCCUAUCGAGCUUUAAACAACUUAAUAGACCUUUAGUUAAUUAAGCUAAAAAAUUAUCUGUUAAACAUUUUAGUUGGGGCGACUGAGGAACAUAUAAAGCUUCCUUUAUAAAAGGCUAUUCAUGCUAGAAUUGAUCCAGAACAUUCUGAUUAAAGAAAUUAGUUACCGUAGGGAUAACAGCAUUAUUUUUUUUGAGAGCUCUUAUCGAAAAAAAAGUUUGUGACCUCGAUGUUGGACCAGAAUAUCCUAAAGGUGCAGCAGCCUUUAAGGGUUGGUCUGUUCGACCAUUAAAAUUCUACGUGA
rnacentral:rRNA from 1 species